UGUCUUGAAUUAAAAUAAACAAUAGAGUUCAUCAUUCAUCUAAUACAAUGAACAAUUAGCUUAGCAUAUUAAUAUAUAAAUUACAGGAAGAAUAAUAGAAAAAUAUCAUCCAAAUCAUGAAAGAAUAUAAAAGAUAUUGAUCUUCAAGUCCAAAGUUGAAUUCUUCAAAAUCUUGAUGUAAUUGAACUUCAAUUCCUUACUAUGACUUGAUCUCCUCUUGCAAAAUAUAGUAAUUGACCAUUUGUUCUUAAUGAAUUUGAUAAAACUAUUGUGUAUGAAGAGGCAAGAAAGAGACUCUUUCAUUGUUGCCCAUAUCUUGUAUUUAUAUGAUGAAAUUAGGUUAAAAUUCACGUCCAAAUUGCCUUCCAAAAGAGUUUUAGCCCCUGUUUGUUUCCUAUUAUUUGGCCAUUAAAAUGAAAAAUAUGACCGUUAUCCAUCACAUCAAGCCACCAUAUUUGAAUUUCUAUCUCUUGUGUGGGGCCCGUAACAACUAUAUUUUUCAUUCCCAUUCUUACAUUAAUGGGAAACAAACGGGACCUUAAUUAAAUAAGGAAAGUUGUAUUCGCGCACACAUGAUUUUGUCUCUGCAAAGCUUUCAGCAUUUUGGUUAUAACUUUCUCUUCUGGUGUCUGAUUGAGAUGAUUCAAAGCGCGUUGGAAACCUAAUUCAAAGAGCUACAAUUCUUCUAGAUAUACAAUUUUUCCAAUUCAAAAGUUUUCUAUCCGAAAAAUGGGUCUCAAAUUGAGUAAAAAUCUGGAAGAUAUCUUAUGUGAUUGAAAGUGGAUUUAUGGUAAUAUUCUGAUCAUAUCCCUUUCCUUUUUUACUUCAAUUUGUAUUCAAUUGAUUCCUAUCAAUCUUCGAAAUAUCUUUUGUGAUCCAGAUCAACCAUUGGAUAUUUACAAUUUGGUCCCCAUUGGAUUUACUCCAUUUUAGCUAUUUUUCGUUCUUUCUUCCAAUUCUUCUUUGAAACAUAAACUUUUCCUAAUAAAAGCAAUAAAUAACAAAUUAGGUACUGAUCUGUUCAAAGAAUAACAAAAUAUUAUCAUUUAGGAUCCCC
rnacentral:lncRNA from 1 species